rnacentral:lncRNA from 1 species
AUGGAGGCCAGCACAUCGCUGCCAAACCUCUCACCACGUUCGCUUCCAGGAAUUGCUUUGGAAAGGAGAGCGGGACCUGAGGCCAGCAGGCGAGGAUGCUUCCUUCCACCUCCUGCUCACGGAGAGGCACGUGGCCAGAGCAGGAGAGCUGGGCAUAGCAGGGGGCUCCGAGCCAGGCACCCCCAAGGAGCUGGGACAGUGGGAAGACCCCAGCAGGACACCCCAGGGAUGGGGAACCCUUUUGCUGUGGGCUCACCCCCAGCAGCUCCCUGUGCUCAGCCACUCACUGGUGACGGUGGUGGCCCUUGGGGACAUGAUGGCCCGGCUCUCGGCAGAGCUGGGGACACCCGCAGUGCUCACAGCCCCCCUGCACCCCAGUCCUGCAUCAAUGGGCACUGCCCCACGGGGACACGGGACUGGGGACGGGGCAGAACGGCCACAGUGGUGCCAAACUGGCCGGGCUUUGGCAAGGGGCUUAUGGACGAGAUCCUCCUGUUACUGUUGGAAUCAAUUCCCCUAAAAACCUGCUCCAUGGCCAAACCAACAGCUGCCUCCAUACUCCCCCACCAUGCUUCCUCGCCUCCUCCCCAGCCGUCCUGGCAGCAGGAAGCCCUCUCAAGCCUUGCAGAAGCUCCUGGAUGGGGCAGCCAAGCCCUCCCAUCCGCCUCCGGCCACCCCAGCAGCAGCAGCAGGCACCUGGGGUUUGUGCACCCCUUCACAGAGAGCUGAUGGAAGCUGCAGUUUUUGGAGCUGGGCUUUCCCCCCAAAAGCAGAGAUGCUGCAGCCCCUGCUGGGGAGCCAGGCAGCAGGAAGGGCUCCUUUGGGGUCAGCUCCACACCAAAGCAGACCCCAAACCCCAAAGGACACCUCCUUGAGACCAUACAAUUCCUUGAGCAACACAGCAACUGCGUGGAAGAAGCAGGGAAUGAACUGACUUUGGUCAAUUCUAAUUAUUGGUUUAAUUGACUUCACCUUUAUUUCGCCCAUGGUGGUCUCCUGCUUUUAAUGACUACGAGGAAGCGCUGCCCUGCCUCCUCUCCCUGCCUGCCGUCCUCACUUGUGGAACUGUCAC